rnacentral:ribozyme from 1 species
GAGAAAUUGGAGAAACAGAAGAGAAAUGUGUGCUUUUGUGAUUUCAAAAGUACUUGAUGUUUCCUUGACUUCUUGUCUUUGUUCCUCUGGUUAUUUCCUUUUUUAAUAAAAAAAAUGUUUAAAAAGCUACCGCUUCUGAAAAAUA